rnacentral:rRNA from 1 species
UACGUAGGGGGCAAGCGUUGUCCGGAUUUAUUGGGCGUAAAGAGCGUGUAGGCGGCCAGACAGGUCAGCUGUGAAAACUCGAGGCUCAAACCUCGAGACGUCGGUUGAAACCGUCUGGCUAGAGUCCGGAAGAGGAGAGUGGAAUUCCCGGUGAUCGAGCGGUGGAAAUACGCAGAUAUCGAGAGGAACACCUGCGGCGAAGGCGGGUUGCUGGGCCGACACUGACGCUGAUGCGCGAAAGCCAGGGGAGCGAACGGG